GUUUAUCCUUUUCAGAAGUGCUUCAA
rnacentral:siRNA from 1 species